rnacentral:rRNA from 1 species
UACGUAGGUGGCGAGCGUUGUCCGGAUUUACUGGGCGUAAAGGGAGCGUAGGCGGACUUUUAAGUGAGAUGUGAAAUACCCAGGCUCAACUUGGGUGCUGCAUUUCAAACUGGAAGUCUAGAGUGCAGGAGAGGAGAAUGGAAUUCCUAGUGUAGCGGUGAAAUGCGUAGAGAUUAGGAAGAACACCAGUGGCGAAGGCGAUUCUCUGGACUGUAACUGACGCUGAGGCUCGAAAGCGUGGGGAGCAACAGGAUUAGAUA